GAUUCCUACUGUGCACUCCUGCCGCUCCUCCCAGAAGGAAGGGCGUCAGAGCUCACAGAGCAGAGACGAGAAGGAACAAACAACAGGGGUGAAGACCUGGCCCUCACUUGUGGGAGGCAGGCUCGCCUGGAACAUGCGAUUAUGUGGCAGGAGGUAGGGGAGGGUGAUGUUACAGCUCCAAGAAACGGAGUCUCUGGUUUUCUGGAGCUCUUCCUAUUGA